CACUGCUUGACGGCAGCGGUGUCCGCCCCACGGCCGGCGUUGCCGGGGUAACGGCGAGCGCGUGGGGCCAAGAAAGAAUACCUCCUCUGAAAAAUGGCAGAAGCAGUUUUCCAUGCCCCAAAGAGGAAAAGAAGAGUGUAUGAGACUUACGAGUCUCCAUUGCCAAUCCCUUUUGGUCAGGACCAUGGUCCUCUGAAAGAAUUCAAGAUAUUCCGUGCUGAAAUGAUUAACAACAAUGUGAUUGUGAGGAAUGCAGAGGACAUUGAGCAGCUCUAUGGGAAAGGUUAUUUUGGAAAAGGUAUUCUUUCAAGAAGCCGUCCAAGCUUCACAAUUUCAGAUCCUAAACUGGUUGCUAAAUGGAAAGAUAUGAAGACAAACAUGCCUAUCAUCACAUCAAAGAGGUAUCAGCGUAGUGUUGAGUGGGCAGCAGAGCUGAUGCGUAGACAGGGGCAGGAUGAGAGUACAGUGGGCAGAAUCCUCAAGGAUUACACGAAACCGCUUGAGCAUCCUCCUGUGAAAAGGGAUGAAGAGGCUCAAGUGCAUGACGAGCUUAACUCUGGAAUGGUUUCCAACAUGGAAGGCACAGCAGGGGGAGAGAGACCUUCUGUGGUAAACGGGGACUCUGGAAAGUCAGGUGGUGUGGGUGAUCCCCGUGAGCCAUUAGGCUGCCUGCAGGAGGGCUCUGGCUGCCACCCAACAACAGAGAGCUUUGAGAAAAGCGUGCGAGAGGACGCCUCACCUCUGCCCCACGUCUGUUGCUGCAAACAAGAUGCUCUCAUCCUGCAGCGUGGCCUUCAUCAUGAAGACGGCAGCCAGCACAUCGGCCUCCUGCAUCCUGGGGACAGAGGGCCUGACCAUGAGUACGUGCUGGUCGAGGAAGCGGAGUGUGCCAUGAGCGAGAGGGAGGCUGCCCCAAAUGAGGAAUUGGUGCAAAGAAACAGGUUAAUAUGCAGAAGAAAUCCAUAUAGGAUCUUUGAGUAUUUGCAGCUCAGCCUGGAAGAGGCCUUCUUCUUGGUCUAUGCUCUGGGAUGUUUAAGUAUUUACUAUGAGAAGGAGCCUUUAACGAUAGUGAAGCUCUGGAAAGCUUUCACUGUAGUUCAGCCCACGUUCAGAACCACCUACAUGGCCUACCAUUACUUUCGAAGCAAGGGCUGGGUGCCCAAAGUGGGACUCAAGUACGGGACAGAUUUAUUGCUAUAUCGGAAAGGCCCUCCAUUUUACCAUGCAAGUUAUUCUGUCAUUAUCGAGCUAGUCGAUGACCAUUUUGAAGGCUCUCUCCGCAGGCCUCUCAGUUGGAAGUCCCUGGCUGCCUUGAGCAGAGUUUCCGUUAAUGUCUCUAAGCUGCUGCUGAGUUCCAAUGACGGAGCUUUGGAGUGUCCCGUGGUGAUCUGAUCUGGAAAAUAAUGUUGAAGUUUAUUUGAAGACCUGCUGUACAUCUGUAUUAGUCCGUUCUCAUGCUGCUAGAAAGAAAUACUUGAGACUGGGUAAUUUAUAAUGAAAAGAGGUUUAAUUGACUCACAGUUCCAUGUGGCUGGGGAGGCCUCAGGAAACUUACAAUCAUGGUGGAAGGCACCUCUUCAGAGGGUGGCAGGAGCAAGAAUGAGAGGAUGAGUGAAGGAGGAAGCCCCUUAUAAAACCAUCACAUCUCAUGAGAACUCACUGUCACAAGAACAGCAUGGGGACCGUCCCCCAUAAUCUAAUCACCUCCCACGAGGUCCCUCCAUGACACGUGGGGAUUGUGGGAACUACAAUUCAAGAUGAGAUUUGGGUGGGGGCACAGCCAAACCGUAUCAACAUCAUUUCACUUAAAGUCCGUGUCCAAGAACCUAUCAAGGACAUUUGAGGACUUACUAUAUUUAGUAUUCUUAAUGCUGUGUUUAUAAUCAAUGUAUCUGCUUAUAUCUGUUGCCAUGUUCAGUGAUUACUAAACGGCAGGUACUUAGUCAGAACGUAAAUCCCAGUUAUGGUUUCCCCAGGAGGAAACUGAUGUGCUCUGUGAGUUUCCACUUGGAGUGCACAGUGAGAGGGACUGGAGACCACCUGCAUUUCCUGCUGAUGCACCCAAAUUUGUACUAUUAUUUUGUAGGAUACAGAAGUGGUUUUUCAUUUCUCAAUAGGAACUUAUGCUGUGCUAUUUGAUUAAACCCUCUACUAUGACUGACAAGGAAAUGGAGUCACCAGAAUGUAUGAAAAGGAUUAAAGUUCAGGAGGUGAUUCUGAGUCGAUGGGUUUCUUCACGAGAGAGGAGUGACCAAGACGAUCUUUAACAAUUCAACCUCAAAUUUCUAAUUUCACCAACAACUAUUUAUUGAGGGCUAGGUAAAAAGUUCUUUUUGUUGUAAUCGUCCAUUAAUUCAUAAGUUUUAAAGGGCAUGGUGCUCCCAGCACCAGAAAACUAUCAGUGUUUUUAAAGAUAAAUUACACAAGGGAGGAGAAAGAUCCCUGUGCCAGGACUGCAGAUUCUAUACUUGCGUUGGCCUCUAACUCUCCAAUCCAGAGCCUCCUGCCUCUGGCGUCAGUCUGUUCCCUCAUCCACUCACUGGGGAGAUUGGACUAGAUGAGUCCUGAGAGGACACUUCCAACAAGAGACAUUUAUUCUCUGAUUUUACCUGAAAAUGGUAGUAGUUUACAUUUAUACAGUACAGUUUAUGAAGCACUUUCAUACGCAGGCAUCUCUUGUUACCUACAUCUAAGCUGUUCCCGAAAGAGUGUUACAGAACACAACAGUAUUGUACAAUAUUCGAUAAGCAUAUCUUCACUGCACUUGUUAUAAAAAUGAGUGGUGAAAUAAUGUUUGGAGACAUAAUGAAAGCAAUUAACAUUUGGCAAAAUAUAAUAAAGCCUUUUUGUAAUUGGUGAGAAA